rnacentral:tRNA from 1 species
UCGUUGCGGUCCCGUCCCCUUGAUGCACAUCACAAUCAAAAAUAAGGACGUUAUCAAUACCUGGUUGUUUUAAAGC